rnacentral:rRNA from 1 species
UACAGAGGGUGCAAGCGUUAAUCGGAAUUACUGGGCGUAAAAGCGUGCGUAGACGGUCAUGUAAGUCGGGUGUGAAAGCCCCCGGGCUCAACCUGGGGAAUUGCAUUCGAGACUGCAUGGCUAGGGGUGCGGAAAGAGGGGAAGCGGGAAAUUCCCCGGUGUAGCGGUGAAAUGCGCAGAUAUCGGGGAAGAACACCCCGUGGCGAAGGCGGGCUCUCUGGGGACGGUACUGACGCUGAGACGGCGAAAAGCGUGGGGGGAGCAAAACAGGG